rnacentral:tRNA from 1 species
GCGCUAGUGGUUUAGUGGCAGAAUACGAGCUUCCCAAGCUUGUGACCCGGGUCCGAUUCCCGGCUGGCGCA